CCCUUAGAUGUCCUGGGCCGCACGUGUGCUACACUGAUGCAUACAGCGAGUACUUUCCAGCUCCGCGAGGCAGCUGGUAAUCAGCAAUAUGCAUCGUGCUGGGGAUAGAUCUUUGGAAUUAUAGAUCUUGAACGAGGAAUUCCUAGUAAGCGCAAGUCAUUAGCUUGCGCUGAUUAAGUCCCUGCCCUUUGUACACACCGCCCGUCGCUCCUACCGAUUUCGAGUGAUUCGGUGAACCUUUUGGACAGCGUCUGUCCUCGUGUCAGAUGCUGAAAGUCAAGUAAACCAUAUCACUUAGAGGAAGGAGAAGUCGUAACA
rnacentral:rRNA from 1 species